GCCCGCAUGAGGUAGCUCGGAUAUCCUGGAGGCCUGCGGAGCCUCUAACCCGGGUUCGAAUCCCGGUGCGGGCA
rnacentral:tRNA from 1 species